rnacentral:rRNA from 1 species
AUUGAACGCUGGCGGCGUGCCUAAUACAUGCAAGUAGGACGCAGUUGCGAACGGGUGAGUAACGCGUAGGUAACUGCCUAUUACAGGGGGGUAACAAUUGUAAACGAUAGCUAAUACACCAUACUAGUAGAUGGACCUGCGUUGUAUUAGCUAGUAGGUAGGGUAAUGGCCUACGUAGGCGACGUUACAUUGCCGACGUGGGAGGGUGAGCGGCCACACUGGGAAUUGGACACGGGCCCGACCCCUACGGUGAGCAGCAGUAGGGAUACGUAGGCAAUGGGGGGAACCCUGACCAAGCACAGCCGAGUGAGUGAAGAAGGUUUUCGGGUUGUAAAGCUCUGUUGUUAAGGAAACGGUAUUUAACCAGAAAGGAACGGCUAACUACGUGCCAGCAGCCGCGGUAAUUC